rnacentral:rRNA from 1 species
UCUUCGGAGACAAAGUGACAGGUGGUGCAUGGUCGUCGUCAGCUCGUGUCGUGAGAUGUUGGGUUAAGUCCCGCAACGAGCGCAACCCUUAUUGUUAGUUGCCAGCAUUCAGAUGGGCACUCUAGCGAGACUGCCGGUGACAAACCGGAGGAAGGCGGGGACGACGUCAGAUCAUCAUGCCCCUUAUGACCUGGGCUACACACGUGCUACAAUGGCGUAUACAACGAGUUGCCAACCCGCGAGGGUGAGCUAAUCUCUUAAAGUACGUCUCAGUUCGGAUUGUAGUCUGCAACUCGACUACAUGAAGUCGGAAUCGCUAGUAAUCGCGGAUCAGCACGCCGCGGUGAAUACGUUCCCGGGUCUUGUACACACCGCCCGUCACACCAUGGGAGUUUGUAAUGCCCAAAGCCGGUGGCCUAACCUUUUAGGAAGGAGCCGUCUAAGGCAGGACAGAUGACU